UACGUAGGGGGCUAGCGUUGUCCGGAAUCAUUGGGCGUAAAGCGCGUGUAGGCGGCCCGGUAAGUCCGCUGUGAAAGUCGGGGGCUCAACCCUCGAAUGCCGGUGGAUACUGUCGGGCUAGAGUACGGAAGAGGCGAGUGGAAUUCCUGGUGUAGCGGUGAAAUGCGCAGAUAUCAGGAGGAACACCGAUGGCGAAGGCAGGUCUCUGGGCAUUAACUGACGCUGAGGAGCGAAAGCAUGGGGAGCGAACAGG
rnacentral:rRNA from 1 species